rnacentral:rRNA from 1 species
GCCGCGGUAAUUCCAGCUCCAAUAGCGUAUAUUAACGUUGUUGCAGUUAAAAAGCUCGUAGUUGAAGUGUGGGUGAUCGCUGUUGUGAGACUUCGGUCUCUCGACAGUAAGUCACCCCCUUCCAGUAUCCAGUAGUGGGUAUUCAGUUACUUACUACUGUGUGUUGGUCAUUUACUGUGAGAAAAUUAGAGUGUUCAAAGCAGGCGUUUGCUUGAAUAGAUUAGCAUGGAAUAAUAAUUGAAGGCUUUCGUGUUCGAUUUGAUUGGUUUGUUCAUGGAAGCAAGGUUAAAAGGAACAGUUGGGGGUAUUCAUAUUCACUAGUUAGAGGUGAAAUUCUCGGAUUUAUGGAAGAUGAACAAGUGCGAAAGCAUUUACCAAGGAUGUUUUCAUUAAUCAAGAGCGAAAG